rnacentral:rRNA from 1 species
UGAGGAAUAUUGGUCAAUGGGCGAAAGCCUGAACCAGCCAAGUAGCGUGCAGGAUGACGGCCCUACGGGUUGUAAACUGCUUUUAGGCGGGGGUAAAGGGGCGGACGCGUUCCGCCUUUGCAAGUACCGCCAGAAAAAGGACCGGCUAAUUCCGUGCCAGCAGCCGCGGUAAUACGGAAGGUCCGGGCGUUAUCCGGAUUUAUUGGGUUUAAAGGGAGCGUAGGCGGGCUAUUAAGUCAGCUGUGAAAUCCGGCGGCUCAACCGUCGGCCUGCAGUUGAUACUGGUGGCCUUGAGUGCGCGCAGGGGCUUGGAAUUCAUGGUGUAGCGGUGAAAUGCUCAGAUAUCAUGAAGAACUCCGA